AGGGUUCGAUUCUGGCUCAGGAUGAACGCUAGCGACAGGCUUAACACAUGCAAGUCGAGGGGCAGCAUAAAAGUAGCAAUACUUGGUGGCGACCGGCGCACGGGUGAGUAACGCGUAUGCAACCUACCUAUCAGAGGGGAAUAACCCGGCGAAAGUCGGACUAAUACCGCAUAAAACAGGGGCACCGCAUGGUGAUAUUUGUUAAAGAAAUUCGCUGAUAGAUGGGCAUGCGUUCCAUUAGGUAGUUGGUGAGGUAACGGCUCACCAAGCCGACGAUGGAUAGGGGAACUGAGAGGUUGGUCCCCCACACUGGUACUGAGACACGGACCAGACUCCUACGGGAGGCAGCAGUGAGGAAUAUUGGUCAAUGGGCGGGAGCCUGAACCAGCCAAGUCGCGUGAAAGGAAGAAGGGUCUAUGGUUCGUAAACUUCUUUUGCAGGGGAAUAAAGUGCAGGACGUGUCCUGUUUUGUAUGUACCCUGAGAAUAAGGAUCGGCUAACUCCGUGCCAGCAGCAGC
rnacentral:rRNA from 1 species